rnacentral:rRNA from 1 species
UACAGAGGGGGCAAGCGUUAUUCGGAAUUAUUGGGCGUAAAGGGCGCGUAGGCGGCUUUUCAAGUGACGGGUGAAAUCCCUCGGCUCAACUGAGGAACUGCCUUUGAAACUGUCGGGCUUGAGGCCGGGAGGGGGUAGCGGAAUUCCCAGUGUAGCGGUGAAAUGCGUAGAUAUUGGGAGGAACACCGGUGGCGAAGGCGGCUACCUGGACCGGUUCUGACGCUGAUGCGCGAAAGCGUGGGUAGCAAACAGG